GACAGAGGAUGCAAGCGUUAUCCGGAAUGAUUGGCGUAAAGCGUCUGUAGGUGGCUUUUUAAGUCCGCCGUCAAAUCCCAGGGCUCAACCCUGGACAGGCGGUGGAAACUACCAAGCUGGAGUACGGUAGGGGCAGAGGGAAUUUCCGGUGGAGCGGUGAAAUGCGUAGAUAUCAGGAGGAACACCAAUAGCGAAGGCAGCUCGCUGGGACGGUACUGACGCUAAGGCGCGAAAGCGUGGGGAGCGAACAGG
rnacentral:rRNA from 1 species